AGAUGCUUCUGGGUCGCGGUGUGCUAAGCGAGGAGUCCGAGUGUGUGAGCUUGAGAGCCGCGCGCUAGAGCGACCCGGCGAGGGAUGGCGGCCACCGGGACCGCGGCCGCCGCAGCCACGGGCAGGCUCCUGCUUCUGCUGCUGGUGGGGCUCACGGCGCCUGCCUUGGCGCUGGCCGGCUACAUCGAGGCUCUUGCAGCCAAUGCCGGAACAGGAUUUGCUGUUGCUGAGCCUCAAAUCGCAAUGUUUUGUGGGAAGUUAAAUAUGCAUGUGAACAUUCAGACUGGGAAAUGGGAACCUGAUCCAACAGGCACCAAGAGCUGCUUUGAAACAAAAGAAGAAGUUCUUCAGUACUGUCAGGAGGUAAGAGUGUUGCCAAUGUAUCCAGAGCUACAGAUCACAAAUGUGAUGGAGGCAAACCAGCGGGUUAGUAUUGACAACUGGUGCCGGAGGGACAAAAAGCAAUGCAAGAGUCGCUUUGUUACACCUUUCAAGUGUCUCGUGGGUGAAUUUGUAAGUGAUGUCCUGCUAGUUCCAGAAAAGUGCCUGUUUUUCCACAAAGAGCGGAUGGAGG
rnacentral:sRNA from 1 species